UAAGCGACUAAGCGUACACGGUGGAUGCCCUGGCAGUCAGAGGCGAUGAAGGACGUGCUAAUCUGCGAUAAGCGUCGGUAAGGUGAUAUGAACCGUUAUAACCGGCGAUUUCCGAAUGGGGAAACCCAGUGUGAUUCGUCUCACUAUCAUUAACUGAAUCCAUAGGUUAAUGAGGCGAACCGGGGGAACUGAAACAUCUAAGUACCCCGAGGAAAAGAAAUCAACCGAGAUUCCCCCAGUAGCGGCGAGCGAACGGGGAGCAGCCCAGAGCCUGAAUCAGUGUGUGUGUUAGUGGAAGCGUCUGGAAAGGCGCGCGAUACAGGGUGACAGCCCCGUACACAAAAAUGCACAUGCUGUGAGCUCGAUGAGUAGGGCGGGACACGUGGUAUCCUGUCUGAAUAUGGGGGGACCAUCCUCCAAGGCUAAAUACUCCUGACUGACCGAUAGUGAACCAGUACCGUGAGGGAAAGGCGAAAAGAACCCCGGCGAGGGGAGUGAAAAAGAACCCGAAACCGUGUACGUACAAGCAGUGGGAGCACAGAGCAAUCUGUGUGACUGCGUACCUUUUGUAUAAUGGGUCAGCGACUUAUAUUCUGUAGCAAGGUUAACCGAAUAGGGGAGCCGAAGGGAAACCGAGUCUUAACUGGGCGUUAAGUUGCAGGGUAUAGACCCGAAACCCGGUGAUCUAGCCAUGGGCAGGUUGAAGGUUGGGUAACACUAACUGGAGGACCGAACCGACUAAUGUUGAAAAAAUUAGCGGAUGACUUGUGGCUGGGGGUGAAAGGCCAAUCAAACCGGGAGAUAGCUGGUUCUCCCCGAAAGCUAUUUAGGUAGCGCCUCGUGAAUUCAUCUCCGGGGGUAGAGCACUGUUUCGGCAAGGGGGUCAUCCCGACUUACCAACCCGAUGCAAACUGCGAAUACCGGAGAAUGUUAUCACGGGAGACACACGGCGGGUGCUAACGUCCGUCGUGAAGAGGGAAACAACCCAGACCGCCAGCUAAGGUCCCAAAGUCAUGGUUAAGUGGGAAACGAUGUGGGAAGGCCCAGACAGCCAGGAUGUUGGCUUAGAAGCAGCCAUCAUUUAAAGAAAGCGUAAUAGCUCACUGGUCGAGUCGGCCUGCGCGGAAGAUGUAACGGGGCUAAACCAUGCACCGAAGCUGCGGCAGCGACGCUGAUGCGUUGUUGGGUAGGGGAGCGUUCUGUAAGCCUGCGAAGGUGUGCUGUGAGGCAUGCCUGGAGGUAUCAGAAGUGCGAAUGCUGACAUAAGUAACGAUAAAGCGGGUGAAAAGCCCGCUCGCCGGAAGACCAAGGGUUCCUGUCCAACGUUAAUCGGGGCAGGGUGAGUCGACCCCUAAGGCGAGGCCGAAAGGCGUAGUCGAUGGGAAACAGGUUAAUAUUCCUGUACUUGGUGUUACUGCGAAGGGGGGACGGAGAAGGCUAUGUUGGCCGGGCGACGGUUGUCCCGGUUUAAGCGUGUAGGCUGGUUUUCCAGGCAAAUCCGGAAAAUCAAGGCUGAGGCGUGAUGACGAGGCACUACGGUGCUGAAGCAACAAAUGCCCUGCUUCCAGGAAAAGCCUCUAAGCAUCAGGUAACAUCAAAUCGUACCCCAAACCGACACAGGUGGUCAGGUAGAGAAUACCAAGGCGCUUGAGAGAACUCGGGUGAAGGAACUAGGCAAAAUGGUGCCGUAACUUCGGGAGAAGGCACGCUGAUAUGUAGGUGAAGUCCCUCGCGGAUGGAGCUGAAAUCAGUCGAAGAUACCAGCUGGCUGCAACUGUUUAUUAAAAACACAGCACUGUGCAAACACGAAAGUGGACGUAUACGGUGUGACGCCUGCCCGGUGCCGGAAGGUUAAUUGAUGGGGUCAGCGCAAGCGAAGCUCUUGAUCGAAGCCCCGGUAAACGGCGGCCGUAACUAUAACGGUCCUAAGGUAGCGAAAUUCCUUGUCGGGUAAGUUCCGACCUGCACGAAUGGCGUAAUGAUGGCCAGGCUGUCUCCACCCGAGACUCAGUGAAAUUGAACUCGCUGUGAAGAUGCAGUGUACCCGCGGCAAGACGGAAAGACCCCGUGAACCUUUACUAUAGCUUGACACUGAACAUUGAGCCUUGAUGUGUAGGAUAGGUGGGAGGCUUUGAAGUGUGGACGCCAGUCUGCAUGGAGCCGGCCUUGAAAUACCACCCUUUAAUGUUUGAUGUUCUAACGUUGACCCGUGAUCCGGGUUGCGGACAGUGUCUGGUGGGUAGUUUGACUGGGGCGGUCUCCUCCUAAAGAGUAACGGAGGAGCACGAAGGUUGGCUAAUCCUGGUCGGACAUCAGGAGGUUAGUGCAAUGGCAUAAGCCAGCUUGACUGCGAGCGUGACGGCGCGAGCAGGUGCGAAAGCAGGUCAUAGUGAUCCGGUGGUUCUGAAUGGAAGGGCCAUCGCUCAACGGAUAAAAGGUACUCCGGGGAUAACAGGCUGAUACCGCCCAAGAGUUCAUAUCGACGGCGGUGUUUGGCACCUCGAUGUCGGCUCAUCACAUCCUGGGGCUGAAGUAGGUCCCAAGGGUAUGGCUGUUCGCCAUUUAAAGUGGUACGCGAGCUGGGUUUAGAACGUCGUGAGACAGUUCGGUCCCUAUCUGCCGUGGGCGCUGGAGAACUGAGGGGGGCUGCUCCUAGUACGAGAGGACCGGAGUGGACGCAUCACUGGUGUUCGGGUUGUCAUGCCAAUGGCACUGCCCGGUAGCUAAAUGCGGAAGAGAUAAGUGCUGAAAGCAUCUAAGCACGAAACUUGCCCCGAGAUGAGUUCUCCCUGACUCCUUGAGAGUCCUGAAGGAACGUUGAAGACGACGACGUUGAUAGGCCGGGUGUGUAAGCGCAGCGAUGCGUUGAGCUAACCGGUACUAAUGAACCGUGAGGCUUAACCU
rnacentral:rRNA from 1 species